UGGCCCCGGCCGCGCUCCGCUUCCCCGGCGGCUUUAACGAACGGCGGGCGGGGGCUGUCGGAGCCCCGCCAGGAGGGGCCGGAGAAGGCGGUCUGGUGUCACUCCCCUCCGCGGGGGCUUCGCCAAACCCGCCCGCACCUGCCGCAAAGCCUCGGCUGAAGGGCCCCGACGUGCGGCCGCUUCCCGCGGGGCAGGUGCCGGGCGCGGCCCCGGGGCGGAGCGGCGCUGCCCCCGGCGCUGUCCCCGGGACGAGCCGAGCCGAGCAGCCCGUGCGGAGCCCGGCGCUGGCAGCCCGCCGCUCCGCUGGCAGCAGGGACGGCAGAGCCGGCUCGGGCUCGAAGCGUGGUGCCGCCGCUGCGCUGUACAGCGGGGUCGGGGCACGGAGGGAAAGAGCCCGAGGUCAGUGACUCCCGCAGCAGAAUGACUUCCUCUGGGCCGCGCCGGUGCUGGGCAGGCUGCUGCUAGCCUGGUGGAAGUCACUCCCGCGGGCGGAAGGUUGGGAAAGAUCCUGUGUUUGCCUGACGAAGCCAGGAUUCAAGGGGUUUCCGCCAGUCACGCUGCAAAGACUUGACAGAUGUCUCGUUUAUAAAUAAUAACAGCCGUAGGUGGGGAAACCUGACUGGCUUAAAUGUUAGGAAAAACGAAAAUGCAAGGACCGCGGUGGGAGCACGUGCUAUCUGUUGAACAGCUUGAGUAGGUGAUAAGAUGGGUAAAUCUGCACGCAAAACUGAAGCUUCUUUUGGUUUGCCCGAAUUCACUGUGGCUUAGUAGCGCCCCGAAAACUGAUCGUGGUACUUUUGAAAAUCACGGCUUUCAACAGAUUUGUGGUUUGGUUAAUCCUGCUUUGUAAGUGGUAUGCUGGGGAAAGGAGUGCAUCGGUGCCACCCUUCCACCUGGCUAAGGACAAGAUAUAGGCUUAUAUCGGUCGGAGGAAAUCCGUAUAGCCUGGCUUAACUAACUGAGAGCACGUGAUCACCUUUCCGUCACCUCUUCUCCCUUUUUCAGACUCUUUUCAGUCCUAAAUUUGUCCACCUAGUUAAUAAAAUUCAGUAGUGCUUCAGAAUAUAAACUUCGCAAGGGUUUUUGGUUUCUUUUUACAGAAAAAAAAAAAAAAAACUCAAAAAGGUGAUAGGGAUAAAAAAUAUCUAGCAAAAUGGAGCUCCAAAUAUCUGCUGCUAGGCUCUGUGCACAAUGUAAAUAACAGGAUUAGUCCAUGUAGCCACUUGUGCUUUAAGUAAGUCUCACUCCCUUCUCUUUCACAGCAGUGGACACAAUCUCACCCUGCCAACCUUCUCUGCCCUUCUGAUGAUCAUUCAUUUACUUGGACUUUUCACUGAACUCAUAUCUGAUUUCUGCUCUGGUUUGGAUUUAGGGGUGUUUUUGGUGUGGUGGUUGGUAUUGAUUCGUAUAUGUGGAAUUUAAGGUGCAGUUUCAUCACUGCUGACAAAAACUUGUCUUUCAGGCCAAGGGAAAAUCCCCAAACAAAACCAGCUAGUUCAGUGUUGGUUUGGAAAGUUGUAAAUAGGCAGAAAAAUAGAUGGUAAAAACAUGGAUCUGCACUAACGCUACUCUUUACUACUCAGCAGUACAAAAUUAGUAAAGUUGGUCCUAACAAAAGUUUUGAGUAAGCAUUCUCCUGAAGAAAAAAUUCUUACCUGCACUCUUAUCUGUAGAGCUUUUAAAUUAGACAAGUACUCAAUUGUAUUUCUAGAAAAUAUAAUCUAGAAAAAGGAUUUCUCAUAUGAGUUAUUGUCUUUCCUGACAGGAAAAUUUUUUCCAUUUAUCCAAUGAAGAGCUUUUCUUGAGAGAAUCGUGUAACUGUGACAAUAACAGUGUUUCACCCUCAUAAUUACACACCUUGAGCAGCACAGCUGGCCAAAUAUUAGCAAAAAAGUCAUAUUAGAAAGUUGUUACUUACAGCAUGCUGUGUACCUUGAGAAAUGUAACAAUGUGUUUUAGUUCUUAGGACACCCUUGGUUCUCUGUUACCCCAGAGAGAUGUCAUGCCAGCUGUCCCCUGAGCCCUCUCUCCGUGGCAAUCUGUAGAAGCUAGCAAGGAUUAGAUGUGCUUGUACUGCUUCACGUCCCUUGUGCCCACUUUUCUUAUGUGUAGGAGCUGACAUGUCCAGGCUUUAGCUGCAUCUACCACUACUGUUGGAUUUUUAUCUCUUUACUAUAAAAACCACUGUGAGCUUAUUUUUCGGUUUUUUUGGUUUUGUUUUGGUUUUGGUUUUUUGGGUUUUUUUUGUUGUUGUUGGUUUUGGUUGUUUUGGGGUUUUUUUGUGCCAAAAAGGUUUGUUUGCCUUAUAGUCUGUUAUAAAUUAACAGAAGUUAUGUUGUGGUGAGUGAGGUUGGGCUUAAGUGCCCAAUACAAAAAUGCUGACUGUCAGAUGUUUGCAUCUCAAUAAGGUUGUCUGUGCUGGAGAGAUUUCAGGGAUAAAGUCCCAAAUAGUUUAAGUAUCACACUGCAUGUUUUUCUCUGCCACAAGGGAGAGCAGCUAAAUAGCUUGCAAACAUUUUUAGAACAACACUUUUCUCUUUUCUUACAAAGAAAAAGAAAUCUUCAGGAUAUUCUUAAAUCCUAGAAAUACAAUUCAUUUUAUUAGCUACAUUUUAAACUGGUGUAAUGAUAAGGGUCCUUAAGCCUUAAGAUAUUGGUUUUUAUAUAUCCUGGAAUGAUAUUCUUCCCUAGAGGUAAAAUUACCACCAGGAUUGGGUAGGAUGAUCUUGAUCUCCUUUGCCAUGGAAGAAAUACUUCAUUUUUCGAUUUAGAGUAAAACCCAUAGUUCAUUCUUAAAUUCUGAAGGAAAUUAAGUGCCUUUUGGGGUUGGGCACUUCAAAGCUGCCUCCUUUGUAAAGGAGUUGCAAGCUGCUUGAGAGCUUUAUAAUUUCUUCUAGAGAUUCAACCGAAUUAUCCAGCCUUAUUAAGGUUCUGAAUUCAGGUUUAUCUGAACCAUGAUCUUUUCUGAAAUGGCAAUUUUCAAGGGCUGGAAAAUAAAAUAGAGAACAUAAUAACGUAUUAAUGGCUGAGGAAAUUAAGGACAACAUCCAAAUUCUUGCCUAAUGUCCAUUUACUUGUUACCAUCAUGUUCUGAGCUUAGCAAACAUUUGUUAUAUACACUCAUGCCUGUAUGUUCUUCACUGAAACACUCCCUCCAUCUCACCCUCUUCAGUAUCUCUCCCCAAAGUCUCUGUUGACUUUACUGCGUUCACCUGUCUGAUUUUCAAACACACAUGCUCUUCCUUCUGCUCCAGACUUUACUUUGCGACUGCUUAUUACCUGCAUUUCCAUGGAACUCUUCCAUUUAGUGCACCUGUCUACUGCUUCCCAUAUGGAUCCCCUUUGAAGUUCAUUCACUCAGCAUUCUUCAUCUUUCUUCUCCCAAUCCAAACUUUUUCAGUCACAUACUUGCUCCACCUGCUUUAUCACUCAUGCUUUAUGAAAUGAAUUCUGUUUCUGUGCAGAUGACUUCAAAGGUGUGAUGAGAGUGUUUUCUGCCACAGUUCCCAGUCUGGCUCUGUCAGAGGGUCUGUUGCUGCUGCUCAUGUUCUGCACCAUGGGGGUACUCUGGAGGGCCAGAUUUGAACAGUGAACCAGGUAUCUGCUAUUGUUUGGAGCCUUAAAGGUCAGGCAGUCCUUAUGAAGCCAUGCUUCCUGCACUCUCCUCCCAUUUGAGUGUCCUGUAUUCAUUCCUCCU